UACGGGGGGGGCAAGCGUUGUUCGGAAUUACUGGGCGUAAAGGGCUCGUAGGUGGCCAACUAAGUCAGACGUGAAAUCCCUCGGCUUAACCGGGGAACUGCGUCUGAUACUGGAUGGCUUGAGUUCGGGAGAGGGAUGCGGAAUUCCAGGUGUAGCGGUGAAAUGCGUAGAUAUCUGGAGGAACACCGGUGGCGAAGGCGGCAUCCUGGACCGGCACUGACACUGAGGAGCGAAAGCAUGGGGAGCGAAUGGG
rnacentral:rRNA from 1 species